rnacentral:rRNA from 1 species
GCGUCUUAAGCAUGCAAGUCGAACGGCAAGAGGUAGCAAUACCUCCUAGAGUGGCGGACUGGUGAGUAACACGUGGGUGACAUACCCUUCAGAUGGGGAUAGCUAUAGAAAUAGUAGAUAAUACCGAAUACGAGCACAGGGGUUAGAGAUCUGUGAGGAAAGGAGCUAAGGCUCCGCUGAAGGAAUGGCCUGCGGCCCAUUAGCUAGUUGGUGAGGUAAGAGCCCACCAAGGCGAUGAUGGGUAUCCGGCCUUAGAGGGUGAACGGACACAUUGGGACUGAGAUACGGCCCAGACUUCUACGGGAGGCAGCAGCUAAGAAUAUUCCGCAAUGGACGAAAGUCUGACGGAGCCGACGCCGCGUGGAUGAAGAAGGCCGGAAGGUUGUAAAGUUCUUUUCGGGAGGGGAACAACCGUGGCAGGGAAUGGCCGCGGGAUGGCGUGAAUCCCGGAAUAAGCCCCGGCUAACUACGUGCCAGCCGCUGC